rnacentral:lncRNA from 1 species
CUCUAUUGGAAGCAAGCUGCCUGAGGCUAUUUUAAGUGCUCUCCUUUCUCCUCCAGGAAUUGGAAUCUGCCCAGCUGAGCCCCAGACGCCGGAGGGGUCCCGGGGGUCAGUCAGCCCUGCGCCACCCUCCGGUUCCUCUUCUGGCCAUACAAGGAAGUCCAGUGCGGGGAUGACUAAGCAGCUGACCUGGGGGGAGAGCAGCCCUGGAGCGGAGGCAGGACUGGCCUCUCCUGCCAGCCAUCAGCCCCUGUGGGCUUGUCCUGUGGUGAAAAGUCCCAGGCCUCCCACCAGGGAGCACCUGACCUCUCUGCUCCCUGAGAGGAGUGAAAAUGUUAAAAGUUCCCAGAUCCCAGGGACUUUUAGGCUGCUCCCACCACAGAGCUGGCCAGCGCAGAGAAAUGCUAGGGCUCUCUUUGGUUUCACUAUGCAAGCUGACUCUCCCCACCUGAUGAGCCAGUGGGAUUAG